rnacentral:rRNA from 1 species
CCUACGGGAGGCAGCAGUGAGGAAUAUUGGUCAAUGGGCGCGAGCCUGAACCAGCCAAGUAGCGUGAAGGAUGACUGCCCUACGGGUUGUAAACUUCUUUUAUACAGGAAUAAAGUGAGGCACGUGUGCCUUUUUGUAUGUACUUUAUGAAUAAGGAUCUGCUAACUCCGUGCCAGCAGCCGCAGUAAUACGUAGGAUCCGAGCGUUAUCCGGAUUUAUUGGGUUUAAAGGGAGCGUAGAUGGGUUGUUAAGUCAGUUGUGAAAGUUUGCGGCUCAACCGUAAAAUUGCAAUUGAUAAUGGCAGACUUGAGUACAGUUGAGGGAGGCGGAAUUCGUGGUGUAGCGGUGAAAUGCUUAGAUAUCACGAAGAACGCCGAUUGCGAAGGCAGCUUACUAAACUGCCACUGACAUUGAUGCUCGAAAGUGUGGGUAUCAAACAGGAUUAGAUACCCUGGUAGUC